AACACGUGAAUAACCUGCCCUUGACUUUGGGAUAACUUCAGGAAACUGGGGCUAAUACCGGAUAGGAGCUCCUGCUGCAUGGUGGGGGUUGGAAAGUUUCGGCGGUUGGGGAUGGACUCGCGGCUUAUCAGCUUGUUGGUGGGGUAGUGGCUUACCAAGGCUUUGACGGGUAGCCGGCCUGAGAGGGUGACCGGCCACAUUGGGACUGAGAUACGGCCCAGACUCCUACGGGAGGCAGCAGUGGGGAAUAUUGCACAAUGGGCGGAAGCCUGAUGCAGCAACGCCGCGUGCGGGAUGACGGCCUUCGGGUUGUAAACCGCUUUCGCCUGUGACGAAGCGUGAGUGACGGUAAUGGGUAAAGAAGCACCGGCUAACUACGUGCCA
rnacentral:rRNA from 1 species